rnacentral:tRNA from 1 species
GCGCCGCUAGCUCAGUUGGUUAGAGCAGCUGACUCUUAAUCAGCGGGUCCGGGG